rnacentral:rRNA from 1 species
CCUACGGGUGGCAGCAGUGAGGAAUAUUGGUCAAUGGACGAGAGUCUGAACCAGCCAAGUAGCGUGAAGGAUGACUGCCCUAUGGGUUGUAAACUUCUUUUAUAUGGGAAUAAAACGUUCCACGUGUGGGAUUUUGUAUGUACCAUAUGAAUAAGGAUCGGCUAACUCCGUGCCAGCAGCCGCGGUAAUACGGAGGAUCCGAGCGUUAUCCGGAUUUAUUGGGUUUAAAGGGAGCGUAGGUGGAUUGUUAAGUCAGUUGUGAAAGUUUUCGGCUCAACCGUAAAAUUGCAGUUGAAACUGGCAGUCUUGAGUACAGUAGAGGUGGGCGGAAUUCGUGGUGUAGCGGUGAAAUGCUUAGAUAUCACGAAGAACUCCGAUUGCGAAGGCAGUUCACUGGACUGCAACUGACACUGAGGCUCGAAAGUGUGGGUAUCAAACAGGAUUAGAUACCCUAGUAGUC